rnacentral:lncRNA from 10 species
UCUAUAUCCUCUCUGCUCAAACACCCCACUUUCCUUCUAUUCAUGGGAUGACUGAGGUUCCUUCUCCCUCAGGAUGGAAAUUAUCUGGUUCCACCCCUGGAUAUGAUCAACCUUCAUAGACUGUGCAUUAUACAUGUUGUUGCCACCUUGCUCUCCACUCUCCUGUCCCUUAUCUCAGUAGCCAUCUCUGCGACCUGCAAAGAUGAAAAGGGAAAGCAGGAGAUGGAAACUGGUCAGCAGCCUUCUGGUUUAUCAGCCACACUUACAAAGGUCAAAUGUGCAAAGCGUCAGAAGACAGUGGUUAGAGUGAGAUUCUACAUGCUCUCAAUGAAGAAUAAAGCAUGCAGGAAGAACCUUUCAAAAGGUUACAACCAGAGACCUGAAGGAAGCAAGGAAGAAAGCCACAUGGUUGUCAAAGAGAAGAGGAAAGGAGAUCACUAAGCUGGAUGACGUUUUCUGUUUCUUUGAAAACAGAGAAGAUGACAAGUUAGGGAGAGAUCAGAGGUCAUACUGUGAAGCACCUUUGGAUAAACGGCAGGGACUUUGGAUUUUCUUUUUGAAUAUAAGCAUAAUCCAUUGAAAGGUCUCAUGCAGGGAAGUGGCAAAACACUUUUAAAAUUUUUCAUCUUUUCUUUCUGAAGCAGAGUUCACUCUCCAUUUAUUUGUCUUCUUUGAUAUCUCUCAAUAGAAUGUUGCAGUUUUAGUAUUCUCCUAUUAAACAUUUGUUUAACUUUCUUGUUCUUCUAAAUAAUAAUUUAUUCUCCUUAUUUUCAUCAUUAGUGUCCCUGAAAUGCCAGAGUUUCAGACUAGGUCUACUACUCACCACACAAAAAGCCAAUCACUGAGACACAAGUAUUGACAAGUAAGAAGGCUUUAAUCAGGUGCUGCAGCCUAGUUGAUGAGAGAUUAGUCUCAAAUCCACCUCCCUGAUGGACUAAAAUCAGGGGAUUAUGUAGUAGAGAAGAAAUGUAACUACAUGUGAGGAAAUAGGAAUCAGGGAGGGAUAAGCAAGAGGAGUUGGUCAGAAAGACACGGGUGGUCAGUUAGGCCACCAUGAUGGGUGAG